GCAGUCGAACGCGUUGGCCCAACUGAUUGAUUGUGCUUGCACAGGAUUGACGUUGGUUUCCCAACGAGUGGCGGACGGGUGAGUAACACGUAGGCAACCUGCCCCGAAGCGGGGGACAACAUUUGGAAACAAGUGCUAAUACCGCAUAACAACUUUGACCGCCUGGUCAAAGCUUAAAAGAUGGUUUCGGCUAUCACUUCGGGAUGGGCCUGCGGCGCAUUAGCUUGUUGGUGGGGUAACGGCCUACCAAGGCGAUGAUGCGUAGCCGAGUUGAGAGACUGAUCGGCCACAAUGGGACUGAGACACGGCCCAUACUCCUACGGGAGGCAGCAGUAGGGAAUCUUCCACAAUGGGCGCAAGCCUGAUGGAACAACACCGCGUGAGUGAAGAAGGGUUUCGGCUCGUAAAGCUCUGUUGUUGAAGAAGAAUGUGCAAGAGAGUAACUGUUCUUGUAUUGACGGUAUUCAACCAGAAAGUCACGGCUAACUACGUGCCAGCAGCCGCGGUAAUACGUAGGUGGCAAGCGUUAUCCGGAUUUAUUGGGCGUAAAGCGAGCGCAGGCGGUUUUCUAAGUCUGAUGUGAAAGCCUUCGGCUUAACCGAAGAAGUGCAUCGGAAACUGGAUGACUUGAGUGCAGAAGAGGGCAGUGGAACU
rnacentral:rRNA from 2 species